rnacentral:rRNA from 1 species
AUUGAACGCGGGCGGCAUGCCUUACACAUGCAAGUCGAACGGCAGCACGGGAGCAAUCCUGGUGGCGAGUGGCGAACGGGUGAGUAAUGUAUCGGAACGUGCCCAGUCGUGGGGGAUAACGUAGCGAAAGCUACGCUAAUACCGCAUACGAUCUGUGGAUGAAAGCGGGGGACCGUAAGGCCUCGCGCGAUUGGAGCGGCCGAUAUCAGAUUAGGUAGUUGGUGGGGUAAAGGCCUACCAAGCCGACGAUCUGUAGCUGGUCUGAGAGGACGACCAGCAACACUGGGACUGAGACACGGCCCAGACUCCUACGGGAGGCAGCAGUGGGGAAUUUUGGACAAUGGGCGCAAGCCUGAUCCAGCAAUGCCGCGUGCAGGAUGAAGGCCUUCGGGUUGUAAACUGCUUUUGUACGGAGCGAAAAGGCUCUCUCUAAUACAGGGGGCUCAUGACGGUACCGUAAGAAUAAGCACCGGCUAACUACGUGCCAGCCGCCGCAGUAAGAC